AUUGAACGCUGGCGGCAGGCUUAACACAUGCAAGUCGAGCGAGCGGCGGACGGGUGAGUAAUGUCUGGGAAACUGCCUGAUGGAGGGGGAUAACUACUGGAAACGGUAGCUAAUACCGCAUACCAUCAGAUGUGCCCAGAUGGGAUUAGCUAGUAGGUGGGGUAAUGGCUCACCUAGGCGACGAUCCCUAGCUGGUCUGAGAGGAUGACCAGCCGAACGGGGACUGAGACACGGGCCAGACUCCUACGGGAGGCAGCAGUGGGGAAUAUGGCACAAUGGGGGCAAGCCUGAUGCAGCCAUGCCGCGUGUGUGAAGAAGGCCAUCGGGUUGUAAAGCAAGUUCAGCGAGGAGGCGUUACUCGCAGAAGAAGCACCGGCUAACUCCGUGCCAGCAGCCGCGGUAAUAC
rnacentral:rRNA from 1 species